UACGGGGGGGGCAAGCGUUGUUCGGAAUUACUGGGCGUAAAGGGCUCGUAGGCGGCCAACUAAGUCAGACGUGAAAUCCCUCGGCUUAACCGGGGAACUGCGUCUGAUACUGGAUGGCUUGAGUGUGGGAGAGGGAUGCGGAAUUCCAGGUGUAGCGGUGAAAUGCGUAGAUAUCAGGAGGAACACCGAUGGCGAAGGCAGGUCUCUGGGCAUUAACUGACGCUGAGGAGCGAAAGCAUGGGGAGCGAACAGG
rnacentral:rRNA from 1 species